GGAGGCGGCGGGCAGCGCGCGGGCGCUUAGUUCCGGAAAGGAGAGGAGGCUCGCGGCUGUGGAUCCGGCGGCUCUAGCCCUGGCAGCGGAAAAGAAGCCGCGCAGGCGCUCAGCGCACCUCCAGGUCUCUAGGUCCCGAGCCGCCUUAAAGGCUUGCGGCCGCGGUUGCUUCACAACGAGCGUGGGCGGGGCCAAAGCUGAGCAGGGGAAGGGCCGGCCGGCCCGCCCCUCCCACGCCACCAGCGUAACGUCAGAAAGUUCCGCGGUGGUGUGAGGUGUCACGUCGUAGCGUGAGAUUCUUCCGCCACUGGGGGCCCGGUGGGCGGAGUCUCAAGUGCCCAAAAAAAAAUCCCUAGGACAGGAAAUGAUCUAGUACAGGUGACUAGACGUGGGAUUUUUUUAAAAGUAUUGAUGAGCUUUAAAAUGAAUAGCUUGAGCGCAUUUGCGUUCUAACCAACGUGCCCAAUCUUUUUUUUUUCUUGGUUUUUUCAAGACAGGGUUUCUCUGGUUUUGGAGGCUGUCCUGAAACUAGCUCUGGUAGACCGGGUUGGUCUCGAACUCACAGAGAUCCACCUGCCUCUGCCUCCUGAGUGCUGGGAUUAAAGGCCUGGGCCACCACCGCCCCGCAAACGUGCCCAGUCUUAAAUUACACUUCAGUAAUUGUUCUUUCCGGGAUAGGGAACCCCUGAAUAGUGGCAGUACAGGCCGUCCGAAGGCCAGACUUCCUAAGAGCAAGCCCAGGUUACCUAGCAAGAGUGUCAAAAAACCGUGGCUCAGUGCUUGCCUAUGAAAGAAGCUUUCAUUAAAAAUUAGGGCAACAGUGGUGGUUCACAGCUUUAAUCCUAGCACUAGGAAGGCAAGGUAGAAGGAUCAGAAGUUUGAAGCCAGCCUGGAUUAUAUAGUAAAUUCCAGGUCAGUUGUGGUACCCUGUUUCAAAAGGGAAAGUCGGACAUUGCUCCAUGCUUUGGGCACAAGGCUAACUGAACCACUCAAAGCUCAAGCUAGUGGAAGAUUUACAUAAUUCAACCAGAGGUGCUUGGUAAAGCAUCGAGAACCUGAAAGAAUAACCUAGAUGGGAACUUGUUAAAAACCAAAAAUUGGGCUAGGUGUUUGUUGGUGGCUCACGCCUUUAAUCCCAGCACUCCAGAGGCAGAGGCAGGUGGAUCUCUGUGAGUUCGAUGCCAGCCUGGUCUCCACAGUGAGUGCCAGGAUAGGCUCAAAAGCUACACAGAGAAACCCUGUCUUGAAAAACUAAAAAAAAAAAAAAAUCAGAAUUAGGGCUGGAGAAAUGGCUUAGUGGUUGAAUGCUUAUUGCUCUUCCAGAGACCCUGAGUUCUGUUCUACACUGGGCAGUAGACAACUAAUUGCCUGUACUUCCUGCAACUCCAGCUUCAGGCUGUCCCACAUUAUCUUCUGGACUCUCUUGGCACUCGAACGCAUGUGUCACAUAUUUAUUCAGAAACAUACAUACACAUAAAAUUAUUUUUUUAGAUUAUGAAUUUAGGCAUAAGCCAUAAAUCACUGUUUGGUACCUCUAGAGUUAGGAGAAAGAAUAAGCCAGUUGACUAUGUAUGCUAACAUUUCAGUCUUGAGGGCUGUAGAGAUGGCUCAGUGGUUAAAACUAUGUUCUUUCAAGACAGGUUUCUCUGUGGCUUUGGAGGCUGUCCUGAAACUAGCUCUUGUAGGCCAGGCUGGUCUUGAACUCACAGAGAUCCUCUGCCUCUGCCUCCCGAGUGCUGGGAUUAAAGGCAUGUGCCACCACCAAUACCGGCUCUGGGUUCAAUUCUUAUUGCCUAUGUCAGGCAGCUCAUGACUGCUUGUAACUCAAGCUCCAGGGAAUUGAACACCUCUGGCUUCCAGUGGUAUUCACAAACAUGGCAUCCACUCACACAGGCACACAUAUACAUGAUUAAAAAUAAAACAAGAAAAAGAAACUUCAUUGAUAUAGGCAAGCAGUGUUUAGUCUGCUAGGACGGUCAUUGUGGCACAAUAUCCCUAGCACACAGUGCAGGCGAAUGCCGAGUUUGAGACCAGCUACAUAAUGAAUACUGCCUCAAAAAAUAAACAGGAUGCUCACUCUCCAUUUGCCACCUGCCUGUUCCCCUUGAGCACUUGAGUUUAUAACCUGCUGCUUUUAAAAUUGAGACGGCCUGGGAGCUGCCACCACAUGCCCCAUUCAGUUAAGAGACAAAGGCUGGACCACUCCACACCUGCUCUGCACCACUGCCCCUCCUUGGGCCAUACCCAGGCCUUUGGGAAGGAAAUAUCCCUGCAGGGCAUUGAGAAAGAGGUUUAGCUGAGUUUGCCACACUCUCUUUGCUUGUCUUCGGUGAGGCAUUUGGCCUCAUUGUUUUUGUUUGAUUGCUGGGACUAUGCAAUCUCCAGUUGGGUGAAUCAAAGGCAGUAAAUGGCUGGUGGUGCCUUUUUUGGUUGUUGCUAGUUUCACCCUGUAGCCCUGGCUGAUCUUUUAUGAAUAUUUUCUCGGCAUGUGUACUGCAUACAUGUGUGGUGCUUUCAGAAGAAAGUGUCAGAUCCCCUGAGACUGUGGUUACAAGCUGUUGGGAGCUACCAUGUGGGUGCUAGGAAAAAACCUGUUUCCUAUACAAGAGCAUCAAGCACUCUCAACAGCUGAGCAAUCUCUCUCUAGUCAGUUCCCCAGGUUUGUUUUUUUCUCUCUGAGAGUUCCAAGCCAACCAGGGAUACACAGUGAGACCCUGUCUAAAAACAAAGAAGCCAGGAGGUGGUGGCGCAUGCCUUUAACCCCAGGAGGCAGCAGAGGCAGGUAAAUCUCUGAAUUCGAGGCUAGCCUUGUCUAUAGAGUGAGUUCCAGGACAGCCUCCAAAGCUACAAAGAAACCCUGUCUCAGAAAAAAAGAAAGAAAAAGUAAACAGAAAUAAUUAGAAAUUUUCCCACUUGAAGGAGGUUUUGUAUGUCAAAUAACACAUGUCUGAAACCUACAGUGGGUGCCUUCUGGAUUGGGUGAGUCCCAAUUUCUGUUACUGUCCUUCAUCAGGCAGAGUGGAACUCUGCAACCUUAUACUGUUCCUAAACAUCUUUGUAUUCAAACUGGUACCAAGAGCUGCCUCAGCCCUCCCUAGAAAAAUGUAGUAGCAGCCUGAUUUGAUCUUUACCAUCAGCCUGGUAGAUAUAAGCUCCCUUCCUGAGUUCAUCCUCUACCUCCUUCCCAAAAGAAGGUUCUGGCUCUUUUGUUCCUCUCCCAGUAGACACCCAAGCUCAGUCUCCAUAGUUGCAGCCCAUGGGGCAAAGUGACAAAAGAAGCAGCACAUGCUUCUUAAUGUAACUUGUUAUUCUUUAUCUCCUUCCCUUUAUUUGUGGUAGGAGCUCACUGUGUGACCCAGGCCAGCCUUGAACUCUUGAUCCUCCUGCCUCAGCUUCCCAAGUGUAAUCAUGUGCGUGCCACAGUUCAGGGUUCUGGUGGUUGAUACCAUAACAAAUCCCUCCCCAGCUAUUGCCACUCAGUUCACUGAGAUUCUUCAGGCUCUGGGAGUCACAGCAGCUUUCUCUAGUUCAAGCACUGAUUCCCAUUAUAUGCUGGAACCUAGUAUGCUUCAGCCUCUGUGCUCACCUCAUCUCCACUCCAUAAACACAGCCUCAAAGAUUGAUCUCAAUUCAUCCACAAAUUCCUGAAAUACGAAUUGACCAGGGAACAGAAAGAGAUAAAGUGCAAGAUUUUAAAAAUCAUAAGUUCAGGGCAGUGGUGGCACACGCCUUGAAUCCCAGCACUCAGGAGGCGGAGGAAGAUAGUUCAAGGCCAGUGUGAUCUACAGAGUGAGUUCUGAGACAGGCAAGCCUGCACAGAGAAAUGCUGUCUCAAAAAACAAAACCAAAAAACUCAUUUAAAAAUUGCAAGGAGGACUGGGUGUUGGUGGUGCACACCUUUAAUCCCAGCACUCAGGGAAGCAGAGGUAGGCGGAUCUCUGUGAUGCUGGGAUUAAAGGCAUGCGCCACCAACGCCCGGCAGCUCUGGAACUUUUAAAAUGAUGUAUUUAUUUUUGUUAUCUUCAUUGGUGCCUUGCCUGCUUGUAUAUCUGUGUGAUCCCCUGAAACUGGAGUUAUAGACUGUUGUGAGCUGCCAUGUAGGGGCUGGGAACUGAAGCUGCUCUGGAAGAGCAGACAGUGCUCUUUAACCACUGAGCCUCUCUCCAGCCCUCAUUCCAGGAAUUUUUAAUCUAUAAAUCAUACAGUAUCUAGAUGUAGAAUCAAUACUUGGUAAUCUGGUUUUGCAGCCAGAAAUGGUGGUGCACACCUGUCAACUCAGACUUCGGAGGCUGAGGCAGGAAGAUUAAAAAUUUAAAGCUAGCCUGGGCUACACAGUGACAUCUUGUCUGUCUGCAAAUAGAUAAGGACUAGGGAGGUAGUUCAGUGGUAUAGCAUCGGCCACCAUAUUAAUACUCUUUUUUUUUUUACAACACUGCAGAUGAUUGAUAGAUCAUAAACAAAAUAGAUAAGUAAUUUUACACAUAAAAAUCUAAGUUUGUAUUGCAAUAAAAAAAAUUCGCUUCAGACACUUCUAACCUGUCUGUUGAGUAUUGAGUAUUGCCUGCAGCGUGCGCUCAAAGAUGAUCCGUAGUCCGUAAGGCUAAGAUUUCUUUAUUCAGAUAAACACCAGCCCAAAUACAAGCCAGAGCGUGCCCAGAGGCCGAAAGCUAGGGAGGCCAGAGAGAGGGGCGAUCCACGAUCCACUUGUGCUCGGUCCCUUAAGAAUUGUCCCCGCGUCAUCUUUGACCUCCCCUGACCACGCCUUCACAUGGGUAGCCAGUCACACCUGUAGGGGCUACUAGGAGGCGGGGCUACAAUGUCUCCCUACACCUGUCCAUAUUUUUUAAAAAAUAGUUUAUUAUGUCUAUGGCUGUUUAGCUUGCAUGUAUACCUAUGUAUUAUGUAUGUGACUGGUGUGCCAGAAGAGGGCAUCAGAUCCCCUGAAACUGGAAUUACAGAUGGCUGUGAGCAGUUAUGUGGGUAUGAGAGUCAAACACAGGUCCUCUAGAAAAGCAGCCAGUGAUCUUCACCACUGAGUCAUCUCUCCAGCCCUUCAUAUUUUGACUGGCCAAAAUAUCAGUAUUCCCUGGCAAGUCACUCCAGUGAAAAAUCGCCUCCCAGACUUAGUGUAAAACCUACCACAAAAACCCUGUAAAGCUACUAUCUCUUGAAGAACCCACACUUAAUCUACAAAAAAAUUUUUUUUGGCCAGGCAGUGGCACACUCCUUUAAUCCCAGCACUCAGGAGGCACAGGCAGGCAGAUCUCUGUGAGUUUAAGGCCAGCCUGAACUACAGAGUGAGUUCCAGGGCUACUCAGAGGAACCCUGUCUUGAAAAACAAAAUUAAAAAAAAAAAAAUGUUUUGAUGCAUGCCUUAAGUACAAACACUUGGAAGGCUGAGGCAGGUGAAUCUCUGAGUUUCAGGCCAGCCUGCUCUAAUUGGCAAGGACUAGGCCAGUCAAGGCUACAGUGUUCAACCUCCUCUCAAAAGAGGCAAAAAAAAAAAAAAAGUUUUUACUACGUUUUGCUUAUUGUGUAUGGAGGAUGGGCACACCAUGGCAUUUCAGUGGAGAGCAGAGGACAUUUUGCAGGAAUUAGUUCUUUUGUUCCGCUUUAUGGAUCCAGGGACUAGACUCAAACCAGUCUUGGUGGCAAGUACCUUUACCUGCUGUGCCAUCUCACUAGCUCCCAGGCUCCCUUAGGAGUGAACUCUGUCCCCAGACACCUUCCCCAGCACCACCCCCAACACCACCAGGUAAAGCUUAGCCUCCUCUAGCAACGGCCCCUCCCACACACACUCUCCUUUGGUUUUUAGUUUUGUUUUGUUUUUAAAUCUCUCCCAUUUUAAGUAAUGUAAAGGAGAGCGGAAUCCUGUACUCCCAUCUCCCACGGGCUUCAGCCUGGUGUCGGUGGGGACAGCAUUUUCAAGCCUAUAUGGGACUCGGACUUGUCUCCUGAGUUACCUCUUCCCUGCCCCUCCUUUCUGUCCUUCAGACCUGUGGGUAGGAAAACACAAAUCUGUGAUAGUCAAGGUUUCCGUCAGGAAAAAUGUGCCUGAUUUCUGUGUCUGCGGACCCCAAACCCCAGUUCUUGCAUACUGGUCCAGGAGGCAGUGUGACCUUGCCUUCUCAAAUUGCCCUGCUUCCUUCACUCCCAGGUCACUGUCCCACAUCCGGCAUUCUUUUCUCACUCUGGGACCCUCCUCGUCUUGAUCCUUCUCUUUGUUACAUAUACAAGAUGUAGAAACUGGGUGGCUCAGCGGAUAAAGACACUGAGUCUGAUCCCUGGGACCCACAAGCUGAAAGGAGAGAGCCAACUCCAACAAGUUGUUCUCUGAUCUCUGAGUGAGCACCAUGGCUUUUGUGCCAGCAAAGGCAUGUGCACACUCACAAAAUAAAAUGUAAUAAUUUAGAUGUACAAAAUUCAGCUGAAGAGAUGGCUCUGCUCUUCCAGAAGACCUGGUUCAGGUCCCAGUACCCACAUGGCGGUUCAUAACCAUUUAAGACUCCAGUCCCAGGGAAUCUGAUGCUCCUUAUGGCCUUUGAAGGCACAAUGUGUGCACAUGGUACAGGCAUGCAUGUAGGCAAAAACCUCUUUUUUUUUUUUUUUUUUUGAGACAGGGUCUCACUACAUAGCUCUGGCUGGCUGUCCUGGAACUCACUGUGUAGACAAGGCUAGCCUUGAACUCAAAGAUCUGCCUGCCUCUACCUCCCCAGUGCUAGGAUUAAAGGUGUGCGCCACUAUAUCUGGACUAAUUUCUUAAAAAAAAAAAUAUGUAGAAACCUGCAGCAGUGAGUUCUCAUUAGUGUCCAGGAUGGCAGGUGGGGGUGGUGAACAUCAUUACUCCCAGCACUCGGGAGGCAGAGGCAGGCGGAUCUCUGUGAGUUCAAGGCCAGCCUGGUCUACAGAGCAAGUGCCAGGAUAGGCUCCAAAGCUACACAGAGAAACCCUGUCUCAGAGAGAGAGAGAGAGAGAGAGAGAGAGAGAAUAGUGAGUGUGUCCAGGAUGGCAGUCCCGUGGUUCCUUGUCCCUCUGGGCACUUUGUGUCCACUGCCAAUCUCCUAUCUCCUGAGUGUGGGAGGGAAGAAGUGUUACAUUCACUAUGUUCCCCUUUAAAAGGCUCCUGCCUGCCUCCUCCUCGUCUUCUUCCUCCUCGUCUUCUUCCUCCUCGUCUUCCUCCUCCUCCUCCUCCCUCCCUCUCUCCCUCCCUCCCUCUGUCUCUCUCUCUCUCCCUCUCUCUGUUUUUCUGCCUGUCUCUCUUCUGCUGCUCCCGUCUCCAAAGGCUGGUCCCCCUUCCACUCCUCCCUUUCUCCUAAUAAACCCCCUCCACAUGAGCUCUCUCACAUGGCCUUCUUUCUCUCAUGCCACUUUUUAAAAUUACAACACUGAUAACUCAGCCAUCAGUUCUGAUUUGAAACUUCUCCACAGUGCGAGCAUUCCAUCUUUCUGUGCCCAGCUUACAGUCGUCUUUAUUUCAUUUCUCUCAUUUCUUUCCCACUUUCUAGCAGUUAAGCUUUUUCAAGUGUGUGUGUGCAUAAGUAAAAGGACACAGCAUGCAUGUAGAGAUAAAGGAGAGUGCUGGGUGUCGGCCUCCACCUUCCACCUUGCUCCAGAUAGGGUGUCUUGUUUGCUGCCAUGCACACAGCAUGCUGGCCUAUGAGCUUCCAGAGGAUUCUUCCGUCUCUGUCUCCCAUGUCCCUUGAAAAGCACUGGGGUUACAGACUCUCGAUACCAUGUGCAGCUUUCACACGGGCUCCAGGGGUUCAAAAUCUGGUCCUCCUGCCUGCACAGCAAGCACCUUUACCACUGAGCCAUCUUCUCAGUCCUUUAUCUUUUAACCUUUCUGUUUUUUAGAACGAGUUCUUGUUUUUGAGCAGUGAUAUAAUGUUGCAAGUUACUCAUUUGUUCAUUCACCAAUGUUAACUGCAGGAAGUAGAGGGAGCCCUGAAUAAAUGUGUGCUGUCAAAGAUAUGCCUACGUCAAUGACGCCAGAGCCUCAGUCCCAUAAGAAAAUGGCAGAGCCUUUCCCAGGUGAGGCACAGAGAAAUGGUAAAGCCUUCUUCUGGUCUAUGUGCAUCUGCUUCUUUCAGCAUGUCACUGUCCCACAUCCACCAUUGUUUUCUCACUCUGGGACCCUUAUCAUCUUGAUCCUUCUCCUGGUUACAUGAUAGUAUGGAUAGAAAAUGUACACCAUUACUUUCUUCUCCAACAAAUACGUACAGCCUGAAGACUGCUCCAUUACAGAACCUAGCUUCUUUGUUCACUGUUUAUAAUAUACAAAGUAAGAACCCUGAAGAGUUGCAGUUUCUCUGUCAGAGAGCCCAGACUACCUGAAUCCAGCUUUCUGUACAUGUCCAGCCAGGUCAAGUCUCUGAGACGAUACAAGCUAGGAAUACAUUAAUUGUAUUGAUUGAGACAAUUGACAUUUUCCAUCAUUGCCAAGUGAUCCCACCUAAGAAGACACAGUUAUCCUUCAUGCAAAUGUUUUUACUCUUUCCCUAAAGGAGGAAUCUCAUUCCCAAAGGUCAGUCCUAGCCCUCAAUGUCCUAAGUGUUGUGGGGUAAUCUUUUCGUACACUGUGAAGAUGUGUCUCUGCUAAGGCACAUUCUGAUUGGUUUAAUAAAGAGCUGAAUGGCCAAUAGGAACUCUGGGAAGGAAUCAAAGAGGUGGGGAUUUGCCAGCUAGACAUUGUCACAUCAAAUCCAGUAGAUUCUGUGUGACAAGUUCCACAGACUGAGGUAAUAACUUCAAAAGAAGGAGGUCUCCUGGAAACAGUUGUGAAAACUCUUGUCCAGAGAAAAAUAUUGGGCUGUGAUUCUCAUGGCAAUUUGUUUGUUCUUCUAUUCCUUUUUUUUCAUAUUAAUCAAAUGUUCCUGAAAGCCUAUGCUGACAUUUAAAGCAAGAGAUACAGAUAAGAAACCAUCCCCUGAGAUGGGGUCACUAGCCAUGACUUCAUCUUCAGAAAAAGAUGUUUUCCAAAUUGUUUUCCAAAUCAUUCACAUCAUUCAUAUAAGUGCAAAUAGUUAAAACUUUUUCAACAAUAAAAUUUCAUAUGGCUGUACAUGUGUCAUUGACUUAAGUGUCUGGUAAAGUAAGCUUUUAAUAAGAGUUAAAAUAGCUCAAUAUUUCAAAAACUCACAAGAACUAGGAAAUAGAUGUUAAUAACUGACCAUAAAAUAUAUUAACUUGAUUUAAGGAAUAUGUGGUUAGCCUUGUAUGAUUCUGUGUUAACCAAGGACGAUUCUAUGUUUUGAUUAACCCUGGAUGAUUCCAUUUUGGAUUUCUGCGUCAUUACUGUGCCUAGUAAUAAUGUCAUAUGUUUGGGUUUGCUUAACAAAAACAUCCCCUGAGAAAAUAUCUCUAUAAAAAAGCCUUGUUUGAGAACUGCAAAAUACACUCAGAUUCAAACUGCCUCUGUGUUUGUUUCUGUUUGUCACUGCUGAAUUCUUACCCACCUAGUCUUCGAGGACCCUCAUCUCAGGGACCCCGUACCUGACUGGGGUGGUCCCUGGCAAGACAUGAAGUGGGAUACACAGUGCUG
rnacentral:lncRNA from 1 species